CGGGGCAUAGCGCAGUCUGGUAGCGCACCUGCUUUGGGAGCAGGGGGUCGGGGGUUCAAAUCCCUCUGCCCCGACCA
rnacentral:tRNA from 2 species